AUUCGACCUCAUACAGGUGACAGAGCUUGUGUCGCAGAGUUCACUCUAAAAGAUAACCUGACUCUAAUCGACCUAAGUACCCCGAGGAAAAGAAAUCAACCGAGAUUCCCCCAGUAGCGGCGAGCGAACGGGGAGGAGCCCAGAGCCUGAAUCAGCAUGUGUGUUAGUGGAAGCGUCUGGAAAGGCGCGCGAUACAGGG
rnacentral:rRNA from 1 species